rnacentral:rRNA from 1 species
UACAGAGGGGGCAAGCGUUGUUCGGAAUUACUGGGCGUAAAGGGCGCGUAGGCGGCCUGUUAAGUCGAACGUGAAAUCCCCGGGCUCAACCCGGGAACUGCGUCCGAUACUGGAAGGCUUGAAUCCGGGAGAGGGAUGCGGAAUUCCAGGUGUAGCGGUGAAAUGCGUAGAUAUCUGGAGGAAUACCGGUGGCGAAGGCGGCAUCCUGGACCGGCAUUGACGCUGAGGAGCGAAAGCAUGGGGAGCGAACAGG